rnacentral:rRNA from 1 species
GACGAACGCUGGCGGCGUGCCUAAUACAUGCCAGUCGAACGCUUCUUUCCUCCCGAGUGCUUGCACUCAAUUGGAAAGAGGAGUGGCGGACGGGUGAGUAACACGUGGGUAACCUACCCAUCAGAGGGGGAUAACACUUGGAAACAGGUGCUAAUACCGCAUAACAGUUUAUGCCGCAUGGCAUAAGAGUGAAAGGCGCUUUCGGGUGUCGCUGAUGGAUGGACCCGCGGUGCAUUAGCUAGUUGGUGAGGUAACGGCUCACCAAGGCCACGAUGCAUAGCCGACCUGAGAGGGUGAUCGGCCACACUGGGACUGAGACACGGCCCAGACUCCUACGGGAGGCAGCAGUAGGGAAUCUUCGGCAAUGGACGAAAGUCUGACCGAGCAACGCCGCGUGAGUGAAGAAGGUUUUCGGAUCGUAAAACUCUGUUGUUAGAGAAGAACAAGGACGUUAGUAACUGAACGUCCCCUGACGGUAUCUAACCAGAAAGACACGGCUAACUACGUG